rnacentral:rRNA from 1 species
UACGUAGGGUGCAAGCGUUGUCCGGAAUUAUUGGGCGUAAAGAGCUCGUAGGCGGUUUGUUGCGUCGGCUGUGAAAUCCCGAGGCUCAACCUCGGGUCUGCAGUCGAUACGAGCAAACUAGAGUGUUGCAGGGGAGACUGGAAUUCCUGAUGUAGCGGUGAAAUGCGCAGAUAUCAGGAGGAACACCGGUGGCGAAGGCGGGUCUCUGGGCAAUAACUGACGCUGAGGAGCGAAAGCGUGGGGAGCGAACAGG